UUCUCUUAGUUUGUCAGCAAAUCAUGGAGAACAAGGCUUUAUACGUGUUGUUUUUGGCGCUCGCCAUGUUUGUGAUGAUGCUGGCCACGGGCGUGGACGUGGGAGGAAUCGCAAAGGCUGCUGCCCAGCGCUGCCAGUCGGGGUGGUAUUGGUAUGACAAUAGUUGCCACCGUUGCCAGAGGGGUUGGAGCUGGCGCAACUGAAACCUCUCGUUUCACGGGGUAAGCCCAAGUUAAGAAUCAGCAUCGUAAUUGAUUUCAUCAUUCUGCAGUGCCAAGGGUCUGGAAACAAGAAUAAAGACACUGAUAACGUGCUUUCUGUAUCGUGCGAUGCUGGAUGAGUUCUAGCAAUAAUAUAUAAAUUGUCCAGGCCUCGAUAUAAA
rnacentral:lncRNA from 1 species